UCACCUCUCCUCUCUUCUCUCUCUCUCUCUCUCUUUCCAGAAGACUAUCGAUCCUCACUCAAACAUAGUUCGCAUAGUUCUUGUUGAAAUUAAGUCUCGGUUACGGCGGCUGUAAUAGUCGCCGGAAAUAUAGUUGAAAUCGAGUCAGAUCGCAUAGUUCUUGUUGAUAUUGAGUCUCAUCUAGUCAGAUCUGCUGGUACGGCGACUGUAAUAGUCGCCGGAAAGUCGUGUGGUGGCAACAUGUCUGAGGGUCGGAGAGGGGAAACAAGGUGAAGCUGCUUGUUCUGGGUCAGUCGGUUCCAUGGUUGUGCCUGAGUAAGAGCUUUAGCCACUGUGAUUUUUAGUAUAAAUCUAGUGGUGCCAAAAUGUGUGGCCAUGCUUUAUUGAGCAUUUGAGCCGUUGUGAUGGAUGGAUGGAUGGAUUUAUGUGUACAACAAUUUUAGGAUAAAACUUUAAGUCAAAGUUCACAGUUGUAUUUUGUGUUUAUGGAAUUUUAUGGCGGUGGGUAUUGGUGGUGGAAGGUGGGAGGUGGUGGUAGUGGGUGA
rnacentral:lncRNA from 1 species